CUAAAGCGGUAACAUACUCUAGACUCCAUGAGUAAACCAUCCAAAGUGCAAAUUUUACGCAACCUGUUUCAUCAAGCUAAAAGCCGUAAAAUUAUUUUUCUUCUUCAUCUUGAAUUAUUAGGAAAUUUUUAUGUCAGUUAUUUGUUAAUAAAGCACAAUUUUUUAUCCACGAAUAUCUUUAUACAAGUAGAAACUCUUGUCAUGGAGCAAAGCAACAGGCGUCUAGAAGUCCUACCGUGUACUGAGGAUGAUGAUACAUGCCGAACGUUUAUUUUAAAAGAUGAAGAUCAUACAUUGGGAAAUGCUCUUCGCUA